rnacentral:lncRNA from 1 species
ACUGGGUGCGCCCAAGGGUCCCGGGUGAAGUUCUCCGCAAUUGGUCUUCUAAAGAGAUUAUCCAAGUCACUCUUCUUGAAGAGUAAUUUUCUUUGUUUAUUUGUGCAUAUCCAGGUCUUACGUUCCGCCCAGGGCGUAAUGACUCAUUGUAGGGCUCAUCUAUGUGAAUACCUGCAUUUUUUAUCAUAAAUAAAGGACGUAUUUUUG